CACUCCUACGGGAGGCAGCAGUGGGGAAUUUUGGACAAUGGGCGAAAGCCUGAUCCAGCAAUGCCGCGUGAGUGAAGAAGGCCUUCGGGUUGUAAAGCUCUUUUGUCAGGGAAGAAACGGUGAAAGCUAAUAUCUUUUGCUAAUGACGGUACCUGAAGAAUAAGCACCGGCUAACUACGUGCCAGCAGCCGCGGUAAUACGUAGGGUGCAAGCGUUAAUCGGAAUUACUGGGCGUAAAGCGUGCGCAGGCGGUUUUGUAAGUCUGAUGUGAAAUCCCCGGGCUCAACCUGGGAAUUGCAUUGGAGACUGCAAGGCUAGAAUCUGGCAGAGGGGGGUAGAAUUCCACGUGUAGUAGUGAAAUGCGUAGAUAUGUGGAGGAACACCGAUGGCGAAGGCAGCCCCCUGGGUCAAGAUUGACGCUCAUGCACGAAAGCGUGGGGAGCAAACAGGAUUAGAAACCCGAGUAGUCCCAUG
rnacentral:rRNA from 1 species